rnacentral:rRNA from 1 species
CAGUAGCUUGCUCCGAUCCCACUAGUGAUUUCUGGUUGAUCCCGGCGGAGGCUACUGCUAUUGGGAUUCGAUUAAGCCAUGCAAGUUGAAUGAAUUUAGAUUCAUGGCGUACGGCUCAGUAACACGUGGAUAACUUACCCUUAGGACUGGGAUAACUCUGGGAAACUGGGGAUAAUACUGGAUAUUAGGCUAUGUCUGCAAUGGUUUGCCUUUGAAAUGUUUCUUUGUAUUCGCCUAAGGAUAGAUCUGCGGCUGAUUAGGUCGUUGGUGGGGUAAUGGCCCACCAAGCCGAUGAUCGGUACGGGUUGUGAGAGCAAGGGCCCGGAGAUGGAACCUGAGACAAGGUUCCAGACCCUACGGGGUGCAGCAGGCGCGAAACCUCCGCAAUGUACGAAAGUGCGACGGGGGGAUCCCAAGUGUUAUGCUUAAAGGUAUAACUUUUCAUUAGUGUAAAAAGCUUUUAGAAAUAGAGCUGGGGCAGACCGGUGCCAGCCGCCCGCGGUACACCGGCAGCUCGAGUGGGUAGCUGUUUUUAUGGGCCCUAAGCGUUCGUAGCCGGUUUAAAUAGUCUUNGNUGAAANGCUGUAGCUAAACUAUAGAAUGCUGGAGAUACUAUUAGACUUGAGUCGGGAGAGGUAGAGUACUACCGGGUAGGGUGNAUCUUAUAUCCUGGAGGACACCUGUUGCGAAGCUCUUAUGGACGAUCUGACGGGAGUACCAAAGCAGGCCCCAACCGAUAAAUCCGGNAAUCUGGNCGAAACAAUGGACUGGGUGUGAAGGCUGAAUUCUCGGGCCAAGGACUGUUAACCCCCCGGGAACCGCCCAAUUAAAUUAGAUUGGGGGACCCCACCG